rnacentral:rRNA from 1 species
UACGAAGGGGCUAGCGUUGCUCGGAAUGACUGGGCGUAAAGGGCGCGUAGGCGGCUUGUAUAGUCGGAUGUGAAAUUCCUGGGCUUAACCUGGGGGCUGCAUACGAGACGUAUGGGCUUGAGUGCGGAAGAGGGUCGUGGAAUUCCCAGUGUAGAGGUGAAAUUCGAUAGAUAUUGGGAAGAGCACCGGUGGCGAAGGCGGCGACCUGGUUCGAU